rnacentral:rRNA from 1 species
UACGGAGGGUGCAAGCGUUAAUCGGAAUACUGGGCGUAAAGCGUGCGCAGGCGGUGAUGUAAGACAGUUGUGAAAUCCCCGGGCUCAACCUGGGAACUGCAUCUGUGACUGCAUCGCUGGAGUGCGGCAGAGGGGGAUGGAAUUCCGCGUGUAGCAGUGAAAUGCGUAGAUAUGCGGAGGAACACCGAUGGCGAAGGCAAUCCCCUGGGCCUGCACUGACGCUCAUGCACGAAAGCGUGGGGAGCAAACAGG